CCAACUACAUUGAGAUUGGUUGAUUUGUCCGUCUCGCCUUCAGAGGCAUUAUUGGCUGGGAGCUCAGGGGCCAUCGUGGAGUCAGGCUUAUUUAUUGUGUUGGAGUUGGCGUUGUCUGGCUCUGUGGUUUCCUUGCUAGUUGCUGUCUCACUACGGGCAGACAGGGAGUUGAACUCUGGGUUGUUUAUUGGCAGAGAGCCGCCAUUGGCUCGUGGACCAUCACCACAUACCUCCCCCUGUGCUGCAUUGCUGCUUUUUCCAACUGUUGCUUGGCUGUGCUCAAUAAGCUGUUCAGCCUCCGGGAGACUUUUAAGCCUUUCAAAGGACCUAUUGAUGAAUUCCAGGUGCACAUCCUCAUCUUCGCUGCCCGAGAGGACAUUCCCCAAGCUAUCCACGCCCUACUUGCUGAGGCGGUGGGAUGGAAUAGGCCUGUGGGCCUCCCAUCUGAGGAAGUGUGAAGAUUGAAUCACCUUUGGCAGGGGCAGCAGUCCUGAACUCUUUCAUGAUUGUGACCACAAGAUGGCGAAGAAGAGCCAUAAAAUCUGAACGGAUUCACCGACAUCAGCCAAAAGUCAAUUAAGGUACGACCUGCAAUAUUUACUGCUGUUCAAUGGUGAUAUUAUAAUUCAAGAUGAAUGUAAUAUAAAUGCACAUGCGUGUGCUACAACUGAGCAUUAGCAGGCUACUGUCAUCACAACUCAUAACCCAUCAUUUAACCUUGGUUUUUACUUCAACAAUUUAGUGUUCAGUGUUAAACAAUAUGUUUAAAACAAUACCGUUGAUCUCAUGCACUGUCGGUAGUUGCAUCCAUAUCUCCGUCUAUGAAUUUGUGAGUGGUUACAUUUCUCCAGCUCCAUCCCUCAGCAUUAUAGAAAAACGUGGCUGCAGUUUGGCUUAAAUAUGAAGUCAGGAUUGUGAAUUUAACAUCAGAAUUCAUAUGUUUAACAUUUCAUCAAUAUUGAUCAUAACACACACAAAUCGGCCAGUAUGCCAUUUAAUGUUGGGUAUGGUUUUAUUGACUUUAAUUAGUGGGGGAGAUAGGUGAACAAAGUAGCACAUGGUCACUUGUAGCAACUAUACUGAAGAAAAAUAUAAAUGCAACAUGUAAAGUGUGUGGCCCAUGUUUCAUGAGCUGAAAUAAAAUAUACAAAACAUUUCCAAAAAGCUUAUUUCUCUCAAAUGUUGUGCACAAAUUUGUUUACAUCAGUGUUAGUGAGCAUUUAACCUUUGCCAAGAUAAUCCAUCCACCUGACAGGUGUGGAAUAUCAAGAAGCUGAUUAAAACACAUUACAGAGGUGCACCUUGUGCUGUGGACAAUAAAAUGUCAGUUUUGUCUCAAGUUUUGAGGGGGCAUGCAAUUGGCAUGCUGACUGCAGGAAUGUCCACCAGAGCUGUUUAUUUAUUAUUUUAAUUUCUCUACCAACGUCGUUUUAGAGAAUUUGGCAGUUCGUCGAACCGUCUCAGGGAAGCUCAUCUGUGUGCUCCCAGUCCUGACCAGGGUUUUGACCUGACUGCAGUUCGGCAUCAUAACUGACUUCUGUGUGCAAAUGCUUACUUUCAAUGGCACACUGGAGAGGUGUGCUCUUCACGGAUGAAUCCCGGUUUCAACUGUACCGGGAAGAUGGCAGACAGCGUGUAUGGCGUUGUGUGGACGAGUGGUUUGCUGAUGUCAACAUUGCGAACAGAGUGCCCCAUAGUAAUGGUGGGGUUAUGGUAUAGAUAGCAUAAGCUACGGACAAUGAACACAAUUGCAUUUUAUCAAUGGCAGUUGGAAUGCACAGAGAUACCGUAACGAGAUCCUGAGGCCCUUUGUCGUGCCAUUCAUCCGCCGCCAUCACCUCACAUUUCAGCAUGAUAAUGCAUGGCCCUGUACAUAAUUCCUGGAAGCUGAAAAUGUCCCUGUUCUUCCAUGGCCUGCAUACUCGCCAGACAUGUCACCCUUUGUGCAUGUCUGGGGAUGCUCUGGAUCGACGCGAACAACAGCGUGUUCCAGCAACUUCGCACAGCCAUUGAAAAGAAGUCUGACAACAUUCCACAGUCCACAACCAACAGCCUGAUCAACUCUAUACAAAGGAGAUUUGUUGUGCUGCAUGGUUGUUACACCAAAUACUGACUUGUUUUCUGAUCCACUCCCCUACCUUUUUUAAAAAAGGUAUCUGUGACCAAUAGAUGGAUAUCUGUAUUUCCAGUCCUGUGA
ensembl:lncRNA